UCCCUUUAUUUGGACCCACUGUUAAUCUGUUCAUUUAUACAAUGGGUGUCUUUCCACAAACCAUCGUAAGAAAAUGUGUUACCAAGGCAUUUCCAUUCUUUUCACGAAUCACACACGGAUCAUCGUUAAUAGUCAAAACACACACUGUUCAUCAUUAUAGUCAAAACACACACUUGGAUCAUCAUUAUAGUCAAAACACACACUGUUCAUCAUUAUAGUCAAAACACACAUGGAUCAUCAUUAUAGUCAAAACACACAUGGUUCAUCAUUAUAGUCAAAACACACACUUGGUUCAUCAUUAUAGUCAAAACACACACUUGGAUCAUCGUUAUAGUCAAAACACACACGGAUCAUCAUUAUAGUCAAAACACACACGGUUCAUCAUUAUAGACAAAACACACACUUGGUUCAUCAUUAUAGUCAAAACACACGGUUCAUCAUUAUAGUCAAAACACACACGGUUCAUCAUUAUAGUCAAAACACACACGGUUCAUCAUUAUAGUCAAAACACACACGGUUCAUCAUUAUAGUCAAAACACACAUGGUUCAUCAUUAUAGUCAAAACACACAUGGUUCAUCAUUAUAGUCAAAACACACAUGGUUCAUCAUUAUAGUCAAAACACACAUGGUUCAUCAUUAUAGUCAAAACACACUUUGCUUUUAAACAACAAAUUAUAAAAUCCCAAUGUCGAUGCAUUCAUUGGGACAGUAUCAGAUGAGCAGUAUUGCAUUCUCCAUGUCGGCAGAGAGUAGACAGUAGGCCUUCUCUAGGGCCCUAGACCACAGAGAGUAGACAGUAGGCCUUCUCUAGGGCCCUAGACCACAGAGAGUAGACAGUAGGCCUUCUCCAGGGCCCUAGACCACAGAGAGUAGACAGUAGGCCUUCUCUAGGGCCCUAGACCUCAGAGAGUAGACAGUAGGCCUUCUCUAGGGCCCUAGACCAGAAACAACACAAACAGCCCAGAGACCAUAACUCAUUCAUGCGGUGAUGUCAGUGGGAGACUAAAUGGAAAUGUGACCUAAAUGGAAGUCAGGGUUGAGACCAACCUGCUGACCGCUAUCCAUUCCUUUCAGAAUGACAUGACGUGGUUAGGCCAUGGGUAGAGGGGUUAGGGGCUGUUUCUGGACAGGGCCCCGCCAGGUUCUAGGAGUUCAAAUACUUUAUUUUCCAGGGGUCGGAGGUCAGCCAAGCAGGGAUGUCUGGGUCACUUUGCGCCUUCAGAGAUUACCAAUGUGAUCCUGGUUAAUCCACAUGCUAACUAUCAGCAGGCAGGGCCCCACACUGUUCUCUCUCUCACUCACUCAGCGUAGCCUAGUGGUUAGAGCGUUGGACUAGUAACCGGAAGGUUGCAAGUUCAAACCCCCGAGCCGACAAGGUACAAAUCUGUUGUUCUGCCCCUGAACAGGCAGUUAACCCACUGUUCCUAGGCCAUCAUUGAAAAUAAGAUUUUUUUAUUAACUGACUUGCCUGGUUAAAUAAAGGUAAACAUUUUAAAAAACUCACUCACACACCAAGAGAAAUCUACAGGAUCUGCUCUCUCUCUCUGAAUAGAAUAGAUGAUGUUUACACCACAGUAAACCAUGACGUCUGGUCUGGGCCACCGUGUUGGCAUCACCACCACCAGCAGAUUAAACAGAUCAGUGCCUGUCUUCACCUGUCAAUCACAGACGCAUGGCACCCUAUUCCCUUCAUAGUGCACUACUUUAGACCAGGUCCUUGGCACCCUAUUCCCUACAUAGUGCACUAUGUUAGACCUGGGUCCUGGUCCUGGGUGCCAUUUUGGAUGCACUCUUAGUGACCUUCAGUGCGAGAGCAGUUGAGGUCAGAAUGAAGUUGUUUAGCUUCACGUCCACCACACUAAGGGCUCAGAUUACGCGGUUGCCAGGGGAUUCCAAUAUCACAAGGUAAAAGAACACUACACACUGAUCGACUGAUGCUCCUGUGUGGUUUAUUGAAACAAUGUGAGGACUGGGAACACACUGUAACGAGACUCCCAUUAGUGACCCUCAGAGACAUUUAGAGUUGGGACGUUGACACGACACCACAAUAUUCUAAAGGCAGCCAUGUUGGUUCUCCAUUAACAUUUCACAGGGAAUAUUUAAACACGAUGCUAUAUAACUGGAUGUCUAGAAUUUAGAACAAUAUUCAAAGAGUUCUUUAAAAAAGCUAACUGAGCUUUUCUAAAUAUAUGGCUCUGCUGUCCACUUCAUUCAUCGCCCUUUGACCUCUUCCUACUGCGCAGCACCCUGACUGUGUGAUCUAUCCAGGUCACGGCAGUGGCACCGCUGUCAGAGUACAUUGUGUUCUACCCCAAGCUAGCCUGCGUGCCAAUCUGCUUCGGCUCUUCUGCCCGAAUACUCCUGGUGUUGUCAUGCCAACAAUGACAACGGAGGAGCAGGCCAAAUCUCAACCAGAUCUGGGGACCAGGCUGACGCCAAGCGGAGCUGGAACUCACAACGUUGGACCUAAUGGGCAACAUCACACGUCACUCGUAGUCAGCCGACAACAGUCUUCGCCAACAGAGCAAGAGAUUAGUCUGUCUCUCCAUGACAGAUGGCUUUACAUCUCAGUGAAGGUCACUGAUGAACUCCAGCCAACAUGCUACACCAGUGGUCCCCAAUCCUGGUCUUAGGAACCCAAAGGAGUUUCCCCCCUGAGCACUAAUACACUUCAUUCAACUAAUCAACAAGCUUUUUAUUAUUUCAAUCAGGUGUGAUAGUGCAAAAACAAAAAUGGUUCCCAAGGACCAGGAUUGGGAAACACUGACUACUACACCAUGUUAUGGUGAGCCUUCACCCUGCUGACUACUACACCAUGUUAUAGUUAUGGUGAGCCUUCACUCUGCCGACUACUACACCAUGUUAUGGUGAGCCUUCACUCUGCCGACUACUACACCAUGUUAUGGUGAGCCUUCACUCUGCCGACUACUACACCAUGUUAUGGUGAGCCUUCACUCUGCCGACUACUACACCAUGUUAUGGUGAGCCUUCACUCUGCUACUACUACACCAUGUUAUGAUGAGCCUUCACUCUGCUACUACUACACCAUGUUAUGGUGAGCCUUCACUCUGCUACUACUACACCAUGUUAUGGUGAGCCUUCA
ensembl:lncRNA